AUCAGUCUAGUUGCAGAUUGUAAUCUACAAGAUUCUGUGUAGUGUUUUUUGGUCCAAUAAUUACAUGAACAUGAAGAACAAUCUGAAUCUGUCUGCAUUUACACUGUUUGUGUGUGUGUGUGAGUGUGUGUGUGUGUGUGUGUGUGUGUAGGCCUCUGGUCUUGGCCUCUCUCUGUUCCUGUGAAGAUUUCUUCAUCAUCUGAGGAAUCUCACGUGAGUCCAGAAGAACACAUGAAGAACCUGAUAACACACACCUGGAAAGCUGUCAAACACCUCAUGCUACAGACGGGGACUGAGUCUGGGCGUUCUGCGUGACUAGGGGUCAGAGGUGGAGGAUCGCCAGUAUCAGAUUGACCUGCAGUGCAUCAACAUGGGCACGGCUCACUGGGAAGUGCUGCGGCGGAGCGUGAGGAGUCAGCGGGCAGGUUUUCCAGAAUCCCGCUCUGGAGUGGAACAUGGCUAGCAGAGUCAUCUCUGGAUUAUGACGAAGAACACCAUAUGAGCAGCCGACCAGCCCAAGACCACAUGAUCCCCUGAUGGGAAGUAGAAUAUGUCUGCUAGUCAUGAGCGUUAGUUGCAUAGGUCUGUACGGGUGGGUUACGGCGGUGGUCCUGUGAUCUCUCUGGCACCUGUUCAGGUAACAGGAUCUUCAGCGGAUACGCUCCAAUCAUAUGCCGGCAGUAAUCCCAGAGUUCCUUCUGUCUAAUCCACUGCCUUCCAUAAAUAUCAGAGCUUUGCUGUUUGAUUGUUUUUAUAGUAGCAGAUGUGGCACCUUAUAAAGCACCGCGUGUUUGUUUUACUGCCCACAGAUGUUCCAGAGAUCCGAUUGGAGUUCAUGUGUGGGAGAGGGAGCGUGGGAGCCUUGGGAGAAACCAGGCUCAGUUGGGGGUCAGUUCUCCUCUGACCAGACGAAACCAGCAGUUCAC